UGACAGUACUCCUACGGGGAGGCAGCAGUGGGGGAAUAUUGCACAAUGGGCGCAAGCCUGAUGCAGCCAUGCCGCGUGUGUGAAGAAGGCCUUCGGGUUGUAAAGCACUUUCAGUCGUGAGGAAGGUAGUGUAGUUAAUAGCUGCAUUAUUUGACGUUAGCGACAGAAGAAGCACCGGCUAACUCCGUGCCAGCAGCCGCGGUAAUACGGAGGGUGCGAGCGUUAAUCGGAAUUACUGGGCGUAAAGCGCAUGCAGGUGGUUUGUUAAGUCAGAUGUGAAAGCCCGGGGCGUCAACCUCGGAAUAGCAUUUGAAACUGGCAGACUAGAGUACUGUAGAGGGGGGUAGGAAUUUCAGGUGUAGCGGUGAAAUGCGUAGAGAUCUGAAGGAAUACCGGUGGCGAAGGCGGCCCCCUGGACAGAUACUGACACUCAGAUGCGAAAGCGUGGGGAGCAAACAGGAUUAGAUACCCUGGUAG
rnacentral:rRNA from 1 species